AAGAUGAGAUUUCCCAUAACUUUAUGUUAGUAAGAGCCCUGAGAGAUGAUCAGGUAGAUAGGUUGGAAGUGGAAGUGUGGCGACACAUGUAGCGGACCAAUACUAAUCGCUCGAGGACUUAUCCAAAA
rnacentral:rRNA from 1 species